ACUCCUACGGGAGGCAGCAGUGGGGAAUAUUGCACAAUGGGGGAAACCCUGAUGCAGCCAUGCCGCGUGUGUGAAGAAGGCCUUCGGGUUGUAAAGCACUUUCUAGUAGGGAGGAAGGUAGUGUAGUUAACACCUGCAUUAUUUGACGUUACCUACAGAAGAAGCACCGGCUAACUCCGUGCCAGCAGCCGCGGUAAUACGGAGGGUGCGAGCGUUAAUCGGAAUUACUGGGCGUAAAGCGCAUGCAGGCGGCCUGUUAAGUCAGAUGUGAAAGCCCGGGGCUUAACCUCGGAAUUGCAUUUGAAACUGGCAGGCUAGAGUCUUGUAGAGGGGUUAGAAUUUCAGGUGUAGCGUGAAAUGCGUAGAGAUCUGAAGGAAUACCAGUGGCGAAGGCGGCCCCUGGACAAAGACUGACGCUCAGAUGCGAAAGCGUGGGAGCAAACAGGAUUAGAUACCCCUGGUAGACUGUCA
rnacentral:rRNA from 1 species